rnacentral:rRNA from 1 species
GACGAACGCUGGCGGCGUGCCUAAUACAUGCAAGUCGAGCGCAGGAAACUGACGGAACUCUUCGGAGGGAAGGCAGCGGAAUGAGCGGCGGACGGGUGAGUAACACGUAAGGAACCUGCCUCAAGGAUUGGGAUAACUCCGAGAAAUCGGAGCUAAUACCGGAUAGUUCAUCGGACCGCAUGGUCCGUUGAUGAAAGGCGCUCCGGCGUCACCUUGAGAUGGCCUUGCGGUGCAUUAGCUAGUUGGUGGGGUAACGGCCCACCAAGGCGACGAUGCAUAGCCGACCUGGGAGGGUGAUCGGCCACACUGGGACUGAGACACGGCCCUGACUCCUACGGGAGGCAGCAGUAGGGAAUCUUCCACAAUGGACGAAAGUCUGAUGGAGCAACGCCGCGUGAGUGAUGAAGGUUUUCGGAUCGUAAAACUCUGUUGUAAGGGAAGAACACGUACGAGAGGGAAUGCUCGUACCUUGACGGUACCUUACGAGAAAGCCACGGCUAACUACGUGCCAGCAGCCGCCGUAACAC